AUACGUAGGUGGCGAGCGUUGUCCGGAAUUACUGGGUGUAAAGGGCGUGUAGGCGGGGGAGCAAGUCAGAUGUGAAAGCCCGUGGCUUAACUGUGGAAUUGCAUCUGAAACUGUUCUUCUUGAGUGCUGGAGAGGAAAGUGGAAUUCCUAGUGUAGCGGUGAAAUGCGUAGAGAUUAGGAGGAACACCAGUGGCGAAGGCGGCUUUCUGGACAGUAACUGACGCUGAGGCGCGAAAGCGUGGGGAGCAAACAGGAUUAGAUACCCUGGUAGUCCACGCUGUAAACGAUGGAUACUAGGUGUGGGAGGUAUCGACCCCUUCCGUGCCGGAGUUAACACAAUAAGUAUCCCACCUGGGGAGUACGGCCGCAAGGUUGAA
rnacentral:rRNA from 1 species